rnacentral:lncRNA from 1 species
GGUUCCAAGCAGGCGGUGGUUUUAUGGCCGUUCUAUCAUUGAUGAGGUGCGCAUUUCUUCUCCUGGCGAUCUCUGUUGCUUCUUGGGUGUGGGGUUGCGUCGGUGCGGUGAUGGGUUUUAUUGUUUUGGCUUUCUCCCACUCGAUGCGUAUGUCGUUGCUGUGUGCCUCCUCUGAUGGGGCUGUCGUUGUUUUGCCCGCUGUGAUAUCAUACUUAUGUUCGCGCACUCUUUGGGCUGGGGUUCUGGAUGUGGCACCGGCGUGCGCGGCCUCUCUGCCUUGGUCUGGGUGAGUAGUGGGGAUCUCAUGGACACCUGAUCUUUCUUGGUGCUGGCGCGGGUCCUUCUCGUUGCGGAUGAUGUUGAAGGUGGUGGGAGCCCUCCUGGUGGAUGUCUGCUUCUUGGUUUUUCGCGCGAUUUCCCUUGCUAUACGGAGGUUGCUGGUGCCAUAUGGCACUGACAAGGGGUCGUUCUUCUGGUCGUGUUGGCUGCGCUCUGGGGGGCGGUUUCUGUUGGGUAGGUUUCGCUUUGCUCUACGGUGGACUUUAUUUAUGAAUGCGUUCGUGUAACCGUGAGGGCGGCCUGUGCUAUAAAUGUGGUCGGGUUCCGCGAGGAGCGGUUGAUUGUUGGAUAUAUAAGCGUGGGCUCUAUUAAAAUGGUGGCUGGGGGCUGCGGCUUUAUGUGCGGG